rnacentral:rRNA from 1 species
GACGAACGCUGGCGGCGUGCUUAACACAUGCAAGUCGAACGGAGAAUAGAAGGAAGCUUGCGAAUUCUAUUCUUAGUGGCGGACGGGUGAGUAACGCGUGGGUAACCAACCCAUAACACCGGGACAACCCUGGGAAACUGGGGCUAAUACCGGAUACGUUCUUCUUGGGGCAUCCUAAGGAGAAGAAAGGUGGCCUCUGAAAAUGCUGCCGAUUAUGGACGGACCCGCGUCUGAUUAGCUAGUUGGUAGGGUAACGGCCUACCAAGGCGACGAUCAGUAGCCGGCCUGAGAGGGUGGUCGGCCACACUGGGACUGAGACACGGCCCAGACUCCUACGGGAGGCUG